rnacentral:rRNA from 1 species
UGGGGGAUAUUGCACAAUGGGGGGAACCCUGAUGCAGCGACGCCGCGUGGGUGAAGAAGCGCCUCGGCGCGUAAAGCCCUGUCAGCAGGGAAGAAAAUGACGGUACCUGAAGAAGAAGCCCCGGCUAACUACGUGCCAGCAGCCGCGUAAUCAUGCGCU